CUCACCAGUUGCAGUUCCGGUAUCACAGAAUACUCAGCAACACCAUCUCCCUCCUCUACAGCAAUGGCCCCAGCUCUGAUCCUUUCUAAUUCUGGCAAGCGGAUUGACAGGAUGUCCAGUAGCCUCACCAGUUCCAGUUCCAGUUCUGGUAUCACAGAACACUCAGCAACACCAUCACCCUCGUCUACAGCAAUGGCCCCAGCUCUGGUCCUAUCAAAUUCUGGCAAGCGAAUUGACAGGAUGUCCAGUAGCCUCACCAGUUACAGUACUGGUACUGCAGAACCGUCAGCAACACCUUCUCCAUCAUCUACAGCAACAGCCCCAGCUCUGGUCCUAUCAAAUUCUGGCAAGCGCAUUGAUCAGGCUGGC
rnacentral:lncRNA from 1 species